CGGCGUGCCUAACACAUGCAAGUCGAGCGGAGUCAGUAAGAGGAAGUUUCGGAUGGAAUCUUGUUGAUUUAGCGGCGGACGGGUGAGUAACGCGUGAGCGACCAACCUUGCACAGGGGGAUAACGGACCGAAAGGUUCACUAAUACCGCAUGAGACCACGGUGUUGCAUGACACAGGGGUCAAAGGAGCAAUCCGGUGCAAGACGGGCUCGCGUCCGAUUAGGUAGUUGAGGGGUAACGGCCCACCAAGCCUAUGAUCGGUAGCCGACCUGAGAGGGUGAUCGGCCACAUUGGAACUGAGAUACGGUCCAAACUCCUACGGGAGGCAGCAGUGGGGAAUAUUGGGCAAAUGGGGGAAACCCUGACCCAGCAACGCCGCGUGAAGGAAGAAGGUUUUCGGAUUGUAAACUUCUGUCCUUGGUGAAGAGAAGAAGACGGUAGCCAAGGAGGAAGCCCCGGCUAACUACGUGCCAGCAGCGGC
rnacentral:rRNA from 1 species